UCAUGUUACAUCUCCUCAAUCCAGGGAACAUCAAUGUAUACCAAAAGUUGUGGCAUGUUCUCUCAGCUUCCCACUUAAUUUCAAAUAAAAAAGAAGGUUACAAUGGUUGGUGCUUAGUUGGCUUGAUUAGAGUCUGUGGGAUCUGUGGUUUGCUGCAGUUUGUAGUUUACAGUCUUCUUCAGGGGAGCUGAGUAACAGGCAGCCUGCAUUUGAGCCAGCUGCAGCUUUCUGCUUUUAAUCACAGCUAAUGGACAGUUAACUGCAGAGACUUAACAAUGGAAGUAGCCAAUGCUGAGGAAAGGGACUAUAAAAGCAAACAAAUAAAGAACAUUCAGAAAAAAAAAUGUUUUUAUAGGGUGAGAUGAAGGAAGUACAAUUUUCUCUUUACAUUUACGGAAAUUCGAUCUGAAUUGAUCUCUUACUCACAGAACUAAUUUAUACACCACAUGUCUUUAAAAGGUCAGGCAAAAUCGUCUUGCACAAACUUGAUAGUUCGCAUAAGUUACUGUAUAUUUUCAUGCCUGCACAGAUUGUUGUUGACUCAAUAUGACACAUCCAAAAAAACCUCCGCCGUCUAUUAAAAGCAGGCAUGGGACAGAGAAAUACAGUUUCUUUAAUGCAUAAAAUCUGACUAAAAAUAGAACAGGCAUGAAAAGGACUUGAUGCAGAAGCUGUGGGAUAUUUCCUAAUCUUGAACAGGUACCCAAUGGAAAUUACCUACUGAUGAAGUGCUGCCAGACAGAAGAAAAUAUCUGAGGAUUAGCAUUGCAGCUGGAGGACUGGUGAAAGAGUGAUAUGAAAAUAGAGGGCAAGAGAAGGGAGAGGAGACUGUGCAGGCAUUUGAAAUUCACAGACACUUAUUAAAUGAGAUGACAUAGAGGAGAGAUGCACCCAUGAGUUGUAUGACCCAAAAAACCAUGUGCCAACACGUCAAAAUCAAGGAAGGGAUCACUAGUAGAGGAGGAGCUGAGCUGAAGAACAGGUGUAAAUCACUGAAAAGAAUGGGCAAAGAACAGACAGAAAUAGAAGACUUAUUUUCUGGAAAAAACAGAAAAAGGGGGGGGGGCAAUGGAGGUAGCUAGGGAACACAGCAGGAGAGAUAACGAUGUAAUAUAGGAGACUGUGAAUUACAGAAGUAUAAACGUAUUGGUUGGGGAGACCUCUGAAAAUCAUCCAGUUCACUUGCAUAGUUGAAGGAAGAUUUUUCAGCGGUUGAUCGGGUCAGCAAUGGCUUUGUCUAGCUGAGUCUUGAAAACCUCCAAUGAUGAAGUCAGUUUCUCUAUCCUGAUGCUGCACCACACUCUUAGCAUAAACAUUUUUUACAGCAUCCAGUUGGAACUUCUGACAGUGCACCAUGGCUCCUUUCCACCUUCACACCACUUUGCUGGACUUUCAAGUUUCUCGACAUCCCUUUUGGGACAGAGGGUGGGUGAAGCAGAACAUCGUAUUCCAGGUGGCAUCUUACAGAGUGACCAAGAAUCUGGAAAGAAGAGGCUGAACAUUAGUACUAACACCACGGAGUGACACGUUGACACGAGCAAAGUUUCCUCUUUAACACACAAGAGUCACAAGAAUAAGCUUGGGGAAAAAAACAACCAUACCCCAAGAGGAAAGAGUUCAUCUUUCCAACAAAAUAAUCAAGAAAAGAAUCAAGACAGAAGAAAAAAUAAUCUACAAACUAAGAUGGAAGCUGAGAAGACAUCUCAGCAGGAGAAAACGAGCAGCAAACACAAAAUCAUGUAAUGGAUGGAUCAGCAAGUGGUAGGCCAGAAAAAGGACUGCCCAAUAGGCUUGACACAAGGACUCAUUGACCCACCAUCGUUGCAAGGCCAAUCCUUAUCAUUCAGUGGAUCUUCAAGAUCUUUGACUCUUGGAGAGGUCAUGAAAACGGGAAAAGGUUCCUGAGGAUUGGCAGAAAGAAAAUAUUACUCUUGUCUUCAAGAAAGUCAAGUUACAGGAUCGAAGGAGCUACAGAUAAGCCAGUCUCACUUUGAUCCCUGGGAAAGUGAUGGAGCAAAUGAUCCUGGAGAGCAUUUCCAAACAUAAGAAGGACAAGAAUGUUACUGGGAGUAUUCAGCAGAGAUUAAUGGGGGGGAAAUCAUACUUAAAUGACUGGAGAGCCUUCCACAAUUAAAUAACUGGCUUGUUGGAUGGAGGGGAGCAGUAGAUACAGUUUGUCUUGACUUUAGUCAGUCUCUUGAUGUUUUCUCCUGUAACUUCCUGGUAGACCAGCUAAUGAAGUAUGGGCCAGCUAAGUGGGACAGUGAGGUGGGUUGAAAACAAGCUGAACCAAUGUUCAUCAAAAUGGUUUUGAUCUGUGGAAAAAAGUCCAUCUGAAGACUAAUCAUUAGUGUGUGAUGUACCCCGGGGUUCAUUACUGGAGCCAAUACUGUUCGUUAAUGUUCUUCAUUAAUGACCUCCAUGAUUGAACCGUGUGCACAUUCGGCAGGUUGGCAGACAAUACCAAGCUGAGGGGCAUGGCUAAAACACCAGGGGACCAGGCUGGAGAACUGGCCAACAGUAGCAUAAUGAAGUUCAAAAAAGGGAAUGCAAAGUCCUAAGCUGGGGGAAGAAUAACCCAUGCACUAGUACAAAGUGCUCCUACAGCAAAGACCAGCAGCAUCCUGGUGUGCUGAUUGUUCCCCUUUGCUGAGCAACAGGGAGAAUACACCUGGAGUGCUGUGUCCACUCCCAGGUUCCCCAGUACAGAGAGACAUGAACAUGCAGGAGCGAGUGCAGUGAAGGUCUACCAAAAUGAUUGAGAAAUGCAGCGAAGGUCUACAAAAAUGAUUAAGGAAUUGGAGUGUCCAGCACAGAAAGAGAGUCUGAGAGAGCUGGUACUGUUUAGCCUGGAGAAGAGAAGGCUCAGGGGAUCGUAUCAAUGUGUAUAAAUACCUGAUGAAUAGGAGUAAAGAAUAUGGAGCCAGAGUCUUCUCAGUGGUGCCUAGUGAAAGGACAAGAGGCAAUAGGACAAGAUGAUUUAAAGGAAACUCUCCUUGAAUAUAAGAAAAUCUUUUUUACUGUGAGAGUAGUGGAACCUUGAAAGAGAUUUCCCAGAGAGAUUGUAGAGUUGUCAUGUUUUAAACUGAUAUCCUAACUAGAAAAAUAAACCAAAACACUUAAAGUGAAGAACUAAUGAGUAAUAGUGUAGAUGGAGGCAUAGAAGUUGCUUAAGAGAAAUAGUCUGGAACACACUAUAAGCUUGAAAAGGAGUAUGAAGAUACCAAAUAACUUGUAGCCCUAAUUACACAGUUUAGAAAGGUUUUUUUAUGAACAUAAACUUACUAAGACAGAUUUAAGCACAGGAUUAAUUGUAUUCUCCUACUAAAAGAUUCUGACGUUGUAUAAUUACAUGUAUCCUGUUCUGUGAAAUGCAACUCAUUUUAUGUAUGAUAGUUUUGUAUGCCUGUUUAGAAUCCUAGGAAAAUAAAUAGCUAUGACAUGUGAAGCCCACAAGAAACAUGAAAGGGGAAUAUAUAAAAUGGAGGUUUAUGGAAAAUUUGAUGUAAUUGUAAAGUCAAAAUAUGUUAAAACACGAGAUAUCUUCUUGCUGAGUUAAUGUUCAGCCCAUUGAAUAAGCAAUUCUUAAAUGCUCUUCACUCUAAGGUUCAUAACAAAUACAGUUGAGGACUCUUAUUUUGUAAAAGAGAUAUAAACAGUAGGUGAAUCAAGUGUAAUUGCUAUUGGCAUGUUUGAUGCAAUUACAGGGGAAAACAUGAUUAAUAGCAAUGAAAUUUAUGGUUGAUUAAAAAUAAAAUAUAAUGCCUAGAG